AGACCAAGUGGAAAAGGCUAACACCCAACUGAAAAAUAAGCAGCUCUAUUUAAUGGUAUGCACCACAAAAAGGUGUAGGAAGACUAUUUUCCAAAAUUAUAGAACCCAGGCUAUAUACACGUCAAAUUGCAAUAUGAACAGUGAUCGGCAAGACAUCCAUGUGCUCUAUCUAGUUAACCGCCAACAACGGACUGAUAUAGCUAUAGAAACAAUGAAAAACAACAUAAAAGAUACAACAGAACUCUUGCA
rnacentral:misc_RNA from 1 species